rnacentral:lncRNA from 1 species
GUGGCCUCAUCGCUCUGUGCAACUGCUGGCACGUCGCGCUGUGUUGCAUCCUUCACAGGAACCGCUCCAUCACAUCAUGCACCGCCUCUCAGCUCUGGCUUUGGCGAUUGUGCUAGUGUCCCGCUGCCAGGCGGCAACACGUGUGGCACGUGCUGUAUCAGUUUAUCCAGCGUCAUCUAUUACCCACCCAGGACACGAAGACGAGUGCUACCUUGAAGACUUCCAGAGCUACUUGCCAGUUGGGGCCACGAAGUACUUAAAAGAGUGCGCGGCAUAUCAUUGCGGCAUGGAUAAUGGCGAACUUUCUUUAACAUACCAGACAUGCGGCAGGGUGGCCCCCAAACCCGACAGCUCAUGCACCGAUGUCCCGGUCAGCCGUUUCGCCGUGUAUCCGGAAUGUUGCCUAAAGAGAUAUAAUUGCGAGGUGCUGGGGUAAGUCCUGCCAAUGAGACUGUGCUAUGUCAUAGACUAACCACCAUAGCUUUGCAACGGCAGGUGGCUCCCAUGGGCAUGUCGAAGCGACUGUGCUCUUCGGGGCGCGGGCAUGCACGCCACAUUUUCGGAAGGCUCAUCGUGUGAUGACCAGUGUUUGCGAGCAUGGAGGUAGGAUAGUACGACUAUACAUAUCUGGCGCUAACAAAAAUACAUUGAAAACGCUCUGACUAGUAUUUUUGAGCCGUGAGAGGAGAUGCAGCGACACAACGUUCAUCUCAUAACGGUCAUUUUACCAUGCAUUCCGGCCCCUAUACUCAUCCAAAGCUUUAACUCACCAA